rnacentral:lncRNA from 1 species
CUUCUGCCACUGCCAUAGUCACUGCUGCUGCUGGAACCUCCAUAGAUACCUUGGCUUCGUGAUUUAAUGGCCAGAGCUUCUGCCUCCAAACUUUCCUCCUUUCAUGGGUCCAAAAUUUGAAGACUGAUUUUUGUAAUUGCCAAAAUCGUUAUAGCUUCCACCACCUCCAAAGUUGCUUCCAUCAUUACCAAAUUACCAAAUCCAUUAUAGCCAUUUCCACUGCCACCAUAUCUACCACCUCCUCAAAUGCCACCAAAGCCACCUCGCCCACUCAUGUUUCCUCCAUGACCACUGUUGUCAUUCCCACCAAAACCACCUCCAUGACCACCACCAAGGUUUCCAGAACCACUUCAACCUCUUUGGCUGGAUGAAGCACCAGCCAUCUCUUGCUUAGAUACAGCUUUCCUUACUUCACAUUUGUGGCCAUUCACAGUACGAUAUUUUUGAACGACAAUCUUAUCUACAGAGUCAUGGUCAUCAAAUGUUACAAAAGCAAAGCCCCUUUUUUUACCACUGCCUCAGUCAGUCAUGAUUUCAAUCACUUCAAUUUUCCUAUACUGUUCAAAAUAAUCUCUUAGAUGAUGACCUUCAGUGUCUUCUCUAAUGCCACCGACAAAAAUCUUCUUCACAGUUAAGUGGGCACCAGGUCUUUGAGAAUCUUCUCUUGAGACAGCCGUCUUUGGUUCUACAACUCUUCCAUCCACCCUAUGUGGCUCUGCAUUCAUGGCUGCAUCCACCUCUUCCACAGUGGCAUACGUGAUAAACCCAAAGCUUCUGGAGUGUUUGGUGUUUGGACCUCUCAUUACCACACAGUCCAUAAGCAUUCCCCAUUGCUCAAAAUGGCUCCUCACAUUCUCAUCAGAUGUUUCAAAGCUCAAACCUCCGGUGAAAAGCUUCCACAGCUGUUCAGGCUCUUUGGGAGACUCUGACUUAGACACGAUGGUGGUGAGGGAGAAGACUUUAAUGAUGUUUACUGGGCAGCGUCCAC